UCCGAUAUGGUGUAAAGGCUAACAUUACCGCCUUUCGUAAAGUUCAUUUGCUUUGGCUACAUAUUUAUGAGCGCGGUAGCUCGGGGUUCGAUUCCCUGUAUCGGGG